AGAGCGCCAAGGGCAGCUCCGGAACGCGCGGCCCGGCCGCGUCCCUCCCUCAGCCGCGGAGCCGCACGGAGCGACCGAGAGACCGAGAGCGGUGGGACUCUGGAUUAACUGAACGCUGAGAGGAAACGUCCGUGGUGAAUUUACCUCAGCCAGUUUGUGGGCUUCUGAAAGACCAGCGUCUCACUUGAGUUCCCAGAUAAGGUAUUUUGCACAUGAUGAAAAAUGUUAGUUUCAUCUCAGGAACCAUCAAGAUGAGUUUUGAGGAUGAUGUCACAGAAUGGAUCCAGACUUGAAGACUCCCCCUUCUGUCCUUGACAAAUAGCAAAUGUCUAUCAAUUCCUGAGCAUCUGGAAGCUGAGACACUUCUGUGUUUCCCCUUAAAUACAUUUACUAGUGCUUCAACAGAGCAGCAGUGGAGCAGGAAAGAAAAGGCACAACUCAUAAUUCUGUCCCUAUGACACCAACCAGCAGAGCUUCAUCUUCCAGAAAUCUUCUCAAUGCAGUCAGCAAAGUACCAACUCUGUCAUUCUGGUCUGUGCAAGCAAACAAUUAUGGAGCAGAGCCACACCUGGAUAUGUGCCUGCUCAUAGGAGGUAUAUAUUUGCUGGAAGCUUAACUGAAAAACCCAUAUGCACAUUCUGAUGGUGAAGAUGGCAGAAUUUUAGAUACAUAAAUCUUCGGAAUGUAAGAAAAAACACAAUUUGUACACAUGUAUUUGAUCUUCAUGAUCAUCUAUAUUAAUACGUCCGUAAAUCAGUUGGCUCAAGAAACCUUGACUGUUCUACAAAUCUGAAACUAAACACUUGCACCAGUGCCCAGUAAAUAUUUUGUUCAACUAAAAAUAGAAAUUACUGUCAUCAGCAAAGGGUAUCCACGAGGGAAUGAUAUUUCCUAUAAAUACACUAAGAUACAUGUGGAUGAGUUUAAUCUAAUGAAGAAGGUGUAAACAAACCAAGGGACAGAGCUUUGAAUGGAGGAAGUAGAAUGCAUAGAAAGUAUUUAAGGUUCUCUCUGCUAGUUAGAAUUUUUAAUAUUAUGCCUUGUUUAAAAAAAACAGCAACGACAAAGUUUCUUGUUUGUUGAGCAAUUAUUACAUUAAGAACUUGUAGAGUACUAUCCCUAAAGAUAAUAUGAUUUCUUCUAUACUUUUCUUGCAGUUUCAAAUAUCAACCUGUGGUGUCAGGGGUCUAAAUUUCAGUUUUCUGUCGGAGCUACCUGAAAAGUGGCAGAUUUUCAGAUGGUGAUUACUUAGUACUUUCUGAUGGUACCAUUUUCUCAAAACCAGGCACAUUUAUAACUCAACUGAGGCUCCUAAAAACUCAUUCAAAGUAACUGAUGACAUUUUAAAAUCUAGGCCAUGGAAUUAGAGACAUCAGAACAUUUUAUAAAGAAUAAUGUAUUUGCUUGCUAUGACCCUUUUUGGUUUCCAUAUUUAUCUGUAAUUAGAAAAUGAUGGGUAGAAACUAGUUUGGUAUUCAGAACGAUUUGGCAAAACUCAUGCUUAAAAUUCAUUACAGAAAUUUUAAAAAUGUUGGUAAGGAUAAUAGUAUGGAUAAAAAUACUGAUAAUAAUGUAGUUAAUAGUCACAGAUUAGAACAGAACUUCUACAGGAAUAAUUCCUUUAAAUUUAUUUGCCAUGAAAGCAUAGAAACAAGACACAGGAAGGGAGUUCCUUUAGCUCCAGAAUUUGAAUCUUAUCAACAUUGAUUGUAAUCUUGUUUGUUUAGAAACAAGUGUUUCUUGUUUAGAAAACAGUGCUCCUACUAUUUAUUCAGAGAAGAUGUGGGAUGGAGAAAGCCUGUGGAUAGAUGCCGAGUCAGAUUAUGAGGGAGCAAGAGGAAGACCGAGCUUCAUUGACUGACAAGUUCUCAGCUGUGCUGUACAAGGCAAAUACCAUCUGGCUUUGAAGCCCAGUCAGAUUUAAGUGGGUUAAAUUAGUUUAUGUAUGGCCCCAUUACAUUCAGUUUGCAUUUGGAGUCGGUGGGCAGUCUUAGAUAAGGGCACAAAAUAACUUUGAAAUCCAAUUUUAUUUUGCAAAAGUUAAAAAGCUAACUAAACUGUAGCUUAAGUAGAAUACAGUUAAUCUCUACACACACACUAAACACCUGAGUAAUUGAAAUUAAAGCAAUGGCAUCUUAGCAUUUCACAAAACACUGUUUUCUAUUAAUUUUCUUAAGGAUAUGGCCUAAGAUUAUAUUGAACUAUAUAUAGGCCAAUAGAUAUGCAGCCAAAAUAAUCCAAAAUAUACCAGAUAAUUUUUCUUCUAAAAGAUAAUACAGAGGAAAAGAAGAUCAUAGUGACUUUUGUAUAGCUAGACAAUAAAAAAAGUUGUUGGCCAGAUAUACUGUCUACACUUCGCCUUUUUUCACUGUUAUUUUGGAUUUUUCCAAUCGGCAGAGAUGCUACUUCUGUUAUUUACUGAUUCUCAAACAUGCGUUUUGUUUUGUACAAAUGCACAGGAAGUAGCCAAGUUCCUGCUCAAACAUUAUGCAAAACAUGAGGUACUUAUAAUACCUUGAGGCAUACAUGAAGCAGUAAAGUACAAGGCUAUGCUGGGGGAAAGAAAUACACGUAAGAUGUUUGGUUCAUAACAAGUUAUAAGCAGUUCCAAAUAAUAUCUGUAGCGCCACCUAUAAUACGAGUACACAUAUGCAUCUCCUGAUGCUCAAUAUACAGCUGUGUUUGCUGACUGCUUUACAGCUGGGCUCUGUCAGGAAGCAGCAGCCAUGGGAUGGUCCACAUGGGCAGGGGAGCUGGCACUUGGGAGUGAUGGUAGGGCUGGCAGGAAAGCAACUCUCUGACAGAGCGCAGUCCCAUGGCACCCAAAAAAGAAGAAAGGAGCUCAGUCUCUGAUGGUGACUAGAGCAGCCAGCGAUCCAGGUCACUAGACGUGUCUGUGGGGAUGAGGCAGGUCUAGGGUCAAGGGAAGUCAGAUCAGUAGAUGGAGAUCGUGUCUGUGACAGCAAUCAAAGUCAGACAGCAUCCGGCAGUCUCCAGGCAAGUCCAAGGUCAGGGUCCUGGCGUGAUGAAUCAGGGAAGGACUCUCACAGCCACUCCAAAUAAUUAUAUACUGCAGAUUUUUUUGUUAUUAGUCAAUCUUGCAUCUCAAGUAUAGGAACAGUCAUAUUGCCAGCAACAUGGCCAAAUACUAUGUUGCUGGUUUUCUCCUUGAUUGUUUCUUUUUUUAAAAAAAACCUACAAAUUCCAGAUGGUGCUGAGAACUUUGUCAGUCAGAAUGCAAUGUAAACUAAAAGAUUGUAGUUGAAAAGUUUACAAGAUAAACAGAAAAUACCAAUAUUAUUAGCCCCAGUUUUCAAAUGAGAAGCAGCAUUUGGUCAAAGCUAUAGAAGAAGGUCUGAAGUCAGUUUCUUGAUUUAUGUGCAAGACCAGCCUUUACCCAUCACUUGGCUGACAAGUGGUCCAGGUUUCCUGGUGGUGACUAGGAGUUGCAUAUUCCCAGCUGGAAAUGUCCAUGACAGAACUAGUGUCAAUACUGGAGCAUGUCUCUUCUCUGACCAAACUGAGUGAACCAUUUUUGCUACUUGAGCAGCACGUAACCACAAUGAUAACGUUUACAUUAUCAGAUGCAGAAAUAGUUUCCUCAGGGCGGAUGCAUAGCCAGCUAUGAGACACAGGCACAUGCUGGCAUUCAUAUCUACAGUAGACCUUCAUUUUUGAAGGAAAGAAAGAGGUACUGAACAGAAAUCAGGGAGCCACAGCUGCCUCCAUGUUUGUUCUAUCAACGGUUAAGUACCCCACCACAUAACACCAGCAGGUCAUCCUAGACACAGAGACUUACAGGACUGAUAAGUCGUAUCUUGAACAGAAACACUUUUCCAGUUCAGGCAUUUCCUGUCAUCAUUUAGCCCUUGAGUCCCUUGUUUUUCCCAUCACCAUUCAGCCCCUUCCUGCUGCACAUACUGAUAGCUGGGCAAUGCAAAGCUUCUAGAUUGUUAUUUAAACCCAGCCUUUUUCUUCAGAUUUCCAUGAGAAAAUGUUGCAGUGAUUUUUUUAACGUAACUGAUCCUGAGCAAUGCAAGAGUGACCACUGUCCAUCAUGCAAGGACAGCAAACUGUCAAGUGGUCACAGCUUUAGCUUGAAAAAAAAUCAUAGAAUCAUAGAAUAUUUAGAGUUGGAAGGGACCUUAAAGCUAAUUCCAACCCGCCUGCCAUGGGCAGGGACAUCCCACUAACUCAGGCUGCCCAAGGCCUCAUCCAACCUGGCCUUGAACACCUCCAGGGAUGGGGCAUCCACAACUUCCCUGGGCAACCUGUUUCAUUGUCUCACCACUCUCAUAGUGAAGAAGUUCUUCCUAAUGUCCAGUCUAAACCUGCUCCUCUCCAGUUUGUACCUGUUUCCCCUGGUCCUAUCCCCACAAGCCUUUAUGAAUAGCCCCUCUCCAGCCUUCCUGUAACCCCUUCAGGUACUGGAAGGCUGCUAUAAGAUCUCCUCUGAGCCUUCUCUUCUCCAGGCUGAACAGGCCCAACUCUCUCAGCCUGUCCUCAUAUGGGAGGUGCUUCAGCCCUCUGAUCACCUUUGUAGCCCUCCUCUGGACCCAUUCUAACAGCUCCAUAUCCUUCUUACAUUGAGGAUUCCAGAACUGGGCACAAUAGUCCAGAUGAGGUCUCACAAGAGCGGAACAGAGUGGCAGAAUCACCCCCCACCCCCUCGACCUGCUGGCCACGCUUCUUUUGAUGCAGCCCAGGAUACAGUUGGCCUUCUGGGCUGUGAGCACACAUCGCCAGCUCAUGUCGAGCUUCUCAUCAACCAGCACCUGCAUUGCUUUGUAGUCUUGUCUCAUUUUGUGCAUACACAGUGGUCUGCCAAUUAAAUGCAAAUUAACUAGCUGAUUUAUUUAAUAACUAUGUGUAACCAAGGCCUCCAAAAGCUAAAAGAUUUGCAUACUUUUCAUCUUAGUAUUAUAUACUAAGAUUGAAGAUGUGAGAACAAACACCGACAUAUUAUCCAUGAUGCAGAAUAUUUCUCCAUCUCAUAGUGGUUUGUGUUUAGAGCUGCCCUGCAGAUGCUAAAAAGUAAGCUGAUUUUGGAACGGUUUAUAACCAACAAAAGCUGUAACAGACUAACCUUGCAUCUCAAAUUAGCCUUUGGAGGUUGGUAUGUACAUUUGCUAUAAAUUAGACGUAAUAUUUUAUAACUUUUUAAGGAUACUAUAAAACUGUAACAUAAAGUAGGACAAAUAGUAAAGGUGAUAGUUUAUUAACUGCAUAUAUACUAUGUAUUAUUGA